CAGUCUAUGAGGAAUUUAGNUUGCUAAUGGACUCAUGGCGGACGGGUGAGUAACGCGUAAAGAACUUGCCCUUUAGACUGGGAUAACAGAGGGAAACUUCUGAUAAUACUGGAUAAGUUAGUAUAUCGCAUGAUAUGCAAAUGAAAGCUACGGCACUAAAGGAGAGCUUUGCGUCCUAUUAGCUAGUUGGUAAGGUAAGAGCUUACCAAGGCGAUGAUAGGUAGCCGGCCUGAGAGGGUGGACGGCCACAAGGGGACUGAGAUACGGCCCUUACUCCUACGGGAGGCAGCAGUGGGGAAUAUUGGACAAUGGAGGGAACUCUGAUCCAGCAAUUCUGUGUGUGUGAAGAAGGUUUUAGGACUGUAAAACACUUUUAGUAGGGAAGAAAAAAAUGACGGUACCUACAGAAGAAGCAACGGCUAAAUACGUGCCAGCAGCCGCGGUAAUACGUAUGUUGCGAGCGUUAUCCGGAAUUAUUGGGCUUAAAGGGCAUCUAGGCGGUAAGACAAGUUGAAGGUGAAAACCUGUGGCUCAACCAUAGGCUUGCCUACAAAACUGUUGAACUAGAGUACUGGAAAGGUGGGUGGAACUACACGAGUAGAGGUGAAAUUCGUAGAUAUGUGUAGGAAUGCCGAUGAUGAAGAUAACUCACUGGACAGAAACUGACGCUGAAGUGCGAAAGCUAGGGGAGCAAACAGGAUUAGAUACCCUGGUAGUCCUAGCUGUAAACGAUGAUCACUGGGU
rnacentral:rRNA from 1 species